rnacentral:rRNA from 1 species
UUUUACAUAAAUGGUAGUAGAACAGAUCAAAACCUAAAUACAAUGGCGGUUUUAUUAAUUUAGAGAAACUCGCUUUAUAAUCGACAAUCCCCGUUAAAUUUCACUUUUUAUAUCAUCUUAUAUACCGCCGUUUAAAGAAUCUAUUUACUAAUUAUACUCAAUAACUAUACCCAUUUAAAAUCAGGUCAAGGUGUAGUAACUAAAAAGACUAAAGUAAGUUACAUUAAAAACAAUUUAAGGAAAUAACAUAAUAAUAACAUAGAAAAAGAAUUUAUAAGUACCCUUAAAUUAAAAUUUUAAGCAGAAUAAUAUACAUAAAACGC